rnacentral:misc_RNA from 1 species
AGACAAUAUUGGAAAUGUUCAGAGCUAAAAAAUAAAAAUCUAGACAACAGCUCGAACUGAUGAAUGCCCAUGCAAUGACAAUAUAAUAUAGCAAAAAUAAUGGGUAAACUUAAGGAACCAAAGAACCACUUUUAAGUUUUAACUGUUGACAUGAUAGUCUAUUAUUUAGUAUAUACGGGUAUACAACUAAACAAAUGGAGUCCAACAAAAGCAAAAUUGAUAACCCACCUUUUAUUUCCUCCAGGCCAGAU